GAUUUAUUGGGCGUAAAGGGAGCGCAGGCGNUCAGGAAAGUCUGGAGUAAAAGGCUAUGGCUCAACCAUAGUGUGCUCUGGAAACUGUCUGACUUGAGUGCAGAGGGGGAGAGUGGAAUUCCAUGUGUAGCGGUGAAAUGCGUAGAUAUAUGGAGGAACACCAGUGGCGAAAGCGGCUCUCUGGUCUGUCACUGACGCUGAGGCUCGAAAGCGUGGGUAGCGAACAGGAUUAGAUACCCUGGUAGUCCACGCCGUAAACGAUGAGUGCUAGGUGUUAGGCCCUUUCCGGGGCUUAGUGCCGGAGCUAACGCAAUAAGCACUCCGCCUGGGGAGUACGACCGCAAGGUUGAAACUCAAAGGAAUUGACGGGGGCCCGCACAAGCGGUGGAGCAUGUGGUUUAAUUCGAAGCAACGCGAAGAACCUUACCAGGUCUUGACAUCCCGAUGCUAUUCUUAGAGAUAGGAAGUCACUUCGGUACAUCGGAGACAGGUGGUGCAUGGUUGUCGUCAGCUCGUGUCGUGAGAUGUUGGGUUAAGUCCCGCAACGAGCGCAACCCUUAUUGUUAGUUGCCAUCAUUAAGUUGGGCACUCUAGCGAGACUGCCGGUAAUAAACCGGAGGAAGGAGGGGAUGACGUCAAAUCAUCAUGCCCCUUAUGACCUGGGCUACACACGUGCUACAAUGGUCGGUACGACGAGUUGCGAGCCGGUGACGGCAAGCUGAUCUCUGAAAGCCGAUCUCAGUUCGGAUUGGAGGCUGCAA
rnacentral:rRNA from 1 species